GCCAUCCCGGGUUUGGGUCGCUCGGGAAAACGGGAAUCGUUCUCCUUUCCCAAAAAACCCUCAAGAAUUAAAUUAGGAACUUUGUGAUCCUCCCAUCGCAGCCAGCACCGGCCAAAAUUAACCCCAGCAAGCCUCAAUUAAAGCCAAAGGGAGCUGGAAGAUUUGACAUCUGGGAUUGUAAAUUUAUGGCCCUUCAAGGACUCUGGAAGAACAAGAAGAUGCAGAAAGGAUUAAAGGUUGGAAAGUUGGAAAGUCUGAGAAAAAGAUGAUUAAAGGGCUAAAGAAUGUGGGCCAGCUGGAAUUUGCAGAGGGAAUGCUGCCUGGAGCGUGCUACCAGACCAUAAUUGAGUGAGGAUUUUUUUUUUUGUGAGCUUCAAGCAGCUCUUGGUUUCUGCUGCCCAACAAAAAUCCUGGGAACUACGCUGCUUUUGGGAUAUUUGGGGAGAAAUACAACAGGAAAGGUUAAAUGGAUGGCAGAAAUGAGACAGGACGGAGCAGCUCUGUGAUGGUUUAUCCUUGGAAAUGGAAAUACUCUUUGGUUUAUUCCAAAUAUUUAUUAUAUUGUUAGGAAAAACGCCACAAAUAAUCACUGGGAAUUGGAGCCCUCUCUGGCUGCGGUUUUCCGAGCAAGGAAAUUUCUGCAAUUUCCAGGUUUUCCAGCCGGCGUCACUCCUGGGUCGGGCAGAGCCCUGCCACCCAACCUGGAGGUGUUUCUGGCUCUAUGGAAGGACAGCAGUUCUUAAUUUUUAUAACCUUUAUAAAUCCAAAUGAUUUUUGGGGUAAUUUCCCCCGCUUUGUUUCCUUUUCCUGCUGCUCUGAGGUGCGUCUCUGAUAUCCUGGAUUCCCUGCUCUCCUCUUGUGCCGUGUCCUUGCCAUGUCACAUCCCACACAUCAGCUCUUGAAGCACCCAGAAAAGAGCAAAACUUCUUUUUAUAGCUCAGAGAAAGAAACGUUGGGCUCCAUCCUUAAUAAGUUCCCAUGGCAAACUCGCUAAAGUCAAUUUAAAUAUUGUUUAUUUCCAACUGUCCAAAGGCAUUCUGUGAAAAAAUGGUUUGGAAGAUGCUCCUUGUCUUGGAUCUCCAGCUGAGCUCUGAACUCAGGAAAGAAAAACUUCUGCUCCUAAUCCCAUCCAUCCAACCAGAACAACUGAAAUUAUUUUGAAUUUGUUUUUUCAGGUCCUACAAGACCCAGGUUUGGCACUGAGGAAAAGGGUUUGUUUCACAAGUGCCCACCAAAAAAAAGAAUUAACGGGAGGCUCUGCAUCACAAGAUCCCCGUGAACACAAAUUUCUCAAACUCAUAAUAUUUGUGCUUUUUGAAUUAGCCACUUUAUGAGUUAUGGAAAAGGAAAUGAUUGGCACUGACAGAUGAUUCUUUUAAAUGCAGUAUAAAAAAAAAAUAUCGCUAAAAAUACACCUGGAGUUCACCACUUCACAGUGCUGACUCUGGCAGAGGUUUGAAAUGCUGUUAGCAAUGGCUUGUUUUACCCCAAAAUUCUCAUUUUCCAGGUAUUUCUCUGUCUUAUUCAGAAGUAUUUAUGGUUCCUGGGCAC